rfam:Medicago truncatula strain A17 chromosome 1, whole genome shotgun sequence.
UAUGGCAAAUGAUGAUUAAUUUUAACGCUUAUUGAUAUACUGAAUAAAAAGUGUUGACAAAAACCUCUGACUAACUGAUGCCAUU